GACGAACGCUGGCGGCGUGCCUAACACAUGCAAGUCGAACGGGACCGGGGGCAACUUCGGUUCAGUGGCGGACGGGUGCGUAACACGUGAGGAACAUGACCUUCGGCGGGGGAUAGCCGGCCCAACGGCCGGGUAAUACCGCGUACGACCUUUCGGGGACAUCCCUGGAUGGUGAAAGCAGCAAUGCGCCGAUGGAGUGCCUCGCGGCCUAUCAGCUAGUUGGUGGGGUAACGGCCUACCAAGGCGACGACGGGUAGCUGGUCUGGGAGGAUGGCCAGCCACAUUGGGACUGAGACACGGCCCAGACUCCUACGGGAGGCAGCAGUGGGGAAUAUUGCGCAAUGGACGAAAGUCUGACGCAGCGACGCCGCGUGUGGGAUGACGGUCUUCGGAUUGUAAACCACUGUCGGGAGGGACGAAUACGCCGCAAGGCGGGUGACGGUGCCUCCAAAGGAAGCACCGGCUAACUCCGUGCCAGCAGCCGCGGUAAUACGGAGGGUGCGAGCGUUGU
rnacentral:rRNA from 1 species